UGUAAGGUACACUGUACAUGUCACACUUUAAAAACAGUCUUGACUCAUGAAUAUUAAUUAGGUGACGUAACAUCCUUUUAGUCUCCUGUCUUGGGUGAUGUGCUGAAACGCAGCCAGAUGUGUUCGCCUCAAAAGGCUGAAUUACAGACAGUGUAAAAAAAUUACCUUAAAAUAUUUAUAAAGCCUCAAGUCACAUCUUAUCAUCUGGUCUAUUAAGGGCCUAAUCACAUUUUCCCAAUUGAACCGCGCCCGGACGCGCAAUGACACUCGGCAGUUAGUGAACCGGCCCCGGCCUGGAUGGAAGAAGUGGGCUGGAGUGAGGUUGACAUCCAUCUAGAUCAAAAUGUCUGAAAAGCCAUUAAUGCCCUGCUUGGAUGAGGUGUGUGAUAAGCUCUCCAGAGAUUUGAUCAAUCAAGGUGGACGUUUGACGGGAGAGGCGUGGAUGUGUCCAGCCAGUGGAACCUGGCGUCUGCUUGAAUGCCCGUCAACAUCGUACGCACCCACAGAUUCACACAAACACACAAAAGCACACGCAUGUAAAGGAAAAAAACUCUUCACAGCCCUUCAGUUUUUGACAGAUUGAUCAUAGCUGCCAGAACAUUCUGUGGCUGUCAGUUUUGUAGCAACUAAAUCACACUCCCCAAAGAUUUAACCAUUUGAAAUUAAGAUUUUAUGGAGCGAAUCACACGCCUGGCAAAAAACCUUUUGCCAGGCCCAUGUAUUAAGAAUUCAUGCAUUCAUUGAAGCUGAUGUUCUGAUGAAUUACUGACCACUCGUUGACCCCCUGAUGUUUGUUUUCAGCCUUGUUCUGUCAAGAAACAUUUGACUUUUAUUUGACAAUUAUUGACUUUUAAUAAUUUUGGCUCGUUUGGCACCAGAUAACUUUUUUAUUGUAUUCUGCUAAGCAUUACAUUCACAAUUUACUAAUGUAAUUUUUUCAAUUCAUUUUGUGCUACUAGUCUAUCUUCAAUAUCGCACUUUCUCCUCGAAAUUCCAUUCUCUUUUGUGUAUUUGGGUCUUUAAACUUUGAACUUGUAGCAGGGCCCGUUUUCUCCACCCAUUUCAUUUACAUUGAAUAGGUCAUUGGUAGCCAACUAGGUGGAACUAAUUUGGCACAGAAGUGUGGAGAGACUGGGCACAGUGUCACAUGCAAGCCACUGGCACGUAAUGAGGAAUACCUGAUUAGUGUUAAGCAGAAGAAUGUGUCUGUCUACCCCAUCCAAGCGUGGAAAGAGAUCUUCCUCAAUGGCCCUUAUAGUAAAAUACACAUUUUCAUCUUUUUCCUCUUAUCUCUGUCAAUUUAGGUUUAUAUUCUGGUUAACUGGGACCCCAUUGGACAGAUCUUUCUUUUGGCAUUACAUUGACUACAUUAUUUAACCUUACUCUACCGUUAAAUCUCAUACCAUUAUAUACUGUAUGCGCAACACUUAGCAUUGAUUAAGACUGAAUAUUCAUGCACUGACCCUGUUCAGAGUUGAGGGUAUUUAUUCAUGGGUCAUGAAUACCUAAGCUUUUUGCCUUCAGAUUAAUUUCCGCCUCUGUCUGUUUUGAAUGGGACCAUUACAGUUGUGAAGCUCUAAUUAAGCUCUACCUUUCAAUACAGAAGGCUCUACCAUCUGCUUGUUGUCGUAUGCACCACAAACAUAAGGGCACUGACAACAACUGAGAUGAGAAUUACAACACAGCCAGAAAAGAAACUACUUUUCAAAUUAAAAAUGCCAGCACAAAUGUUCCGCGCUCAAUGGCAUAUAUUAAGCAAUAUUUUUUAUAUAGUUGAUUUUGGAAUUGAUAUAUUUUCAUAAUACAUGUAUUAUAAAUUACUUGAAUAUGAAAUCAAACAUCAAGUAAUAAUUCUGGUUUUGGUUUAGUUUAAUAUUUCCGGU